UGAGGAUUAUUGGUCAAUGGACGAGAGUCUGAACCAGCCAAGUAGCGUGCAGGAUGACGGCCCUAUGGGUUGUAAACUGCUUUUGUUUGGGAAUAAUCGACAUUACGUGUAAUGUUUUGCAUGUACCAUACGAAUAAGGACCGGCUAAUUCCGUGCCAGCAGCCGCGGUAAUACGGAAGGUCCAGGCGUUAUCCGGAUUUAUUGGGUUUAAAGGGAGCGUAGGCUGUUUGUUAAGCGUGUUGUGAAAUGUAAGAGCUCAACUUUUAGAUUGCAGCGCGAACUGGCAGACUUGAGUGCGCACAACGUAGGCGGAAUUCAUGGUGUAGCGGUGAAAUGCGUAGAUAUCAUGACGAACUCCGAUUGCGAAGGCAGCUUACGGGAGCGCAACUGACGCUAAAGCUCGAAAGUGCGGGUAUCGAACAGG
rnacentral:rRNA from 1 species